GAUUGAACGCUGGCGGCAGGCCUAACACAUGCAAGUCGAGCGGCAGCGGAAAGUAGCUUGCUACUUUGCCGGCGAGCGGCGGACGGGUGAGUAAUGUCUGGGAAACUGCCUGAUGGAGGGGGAUAACUACUGGAAACGGUAGCUAAUACCGCAUAACGUCGCAAGACCAAAGAGGGGGACCUUCGGGCCUCUUGCCAUCAGAUGUGCCCAGAUGGGAUUAGCUAGUAGGUGGGGUAACGGCUCACCUAGGCGACGAUCCCUAGCUGGUCUGAGAGGAUGACCAGCCACACUGGAACUGAGACACGGUCCAGACUCCUACGGGAGGCAGCAGUGGGGAAUAUUGCACAAUGGGCGCAAGCCUGAUGCAGCCAUGCCGCGUGUAUGAAGAAGGCCUUCGGGUUGUAAAGUACUUUCAGCGGGGAGGAAGGUGCUGAGGUUAAUAACCUCAGCAAUUGACGUUACCCGCAGAAGAAGCACCGGCUAACUCC
rnacentral:rRNA from 1 species